rnacentral:rRNA from 1 species
GACGAACGCUGGCGGCGUGCCUAAUACAUGCAAGUCGAACGGACCUUGCUUUAACGGAUUGGAGUACUUGUACAAAGAGAAGAUAGAGCGCUGGUUAGUGGCGAACGGGUGAGUAACACGUAGGUAACCUGGCAAUAAGACGAGGACAACUAUUGGAAACGAUAGCUAAUACUGGAUGUGGUGUGAGGAAGGCAUCUUCUUCAUAUUAAAGGAGCUACGGCUUCACUUAUUGAUGGACCUGCGGCGCAUUAGCUAGUUGGUAAGGUAGAGGCUUACCAAGGCAAUGAUGCGUAGCCGAUCUGAGAGGAUAAACGGCCACACUGGGACUGAGAUACGGCCCAGACUCCUACGGGAGGCAGCAGUAGGGAAUUUUCCACAAUGGACGGAAGUCUGAUGGAGCAACGCCGCGUGUGCGAAGAAGGUUUUCGGAUUGUAAAGCUCUUUCACCGGUGAAGAUAAUGACGGUAACCGGAGAAGAAGCCCCGGCUAACUUCGUGCCAGCAGCCGCAGUAAAAC